CGGGUGAGUAACACGUGAGUAACCUGCCCCCGACUCUGGGAUAACUGCUAGAAAUGGUAGCUAAUACCGGAUAUGACGACUGGCCGCAUGGUCUGGUCGUGGAAAGAAUUUCGGUUGGGGAUGGACUCGCGGCCUAUCAGGUUGUUGGUGAGGUAAUGGCUCACCAAGCCUACGACGGGUAGCCGGCCUGAGAGGGUGACCGGCCACACUGGGACUGAGACACGGCCCAGACUCCUACGGGAGGCAGCAGUGGGGAAUAUUGCACAAUGGGCGAAAGCCUGAUGCAGCAACGCCGCGUGAGGGAUGACGGCCUUCGGGUUGUAAACCUCUUUUAGUAGGGAAGAAGCGAAAGUGACGGUACCUGCAGAAAAAGCACCGGCUAACUACGUGCCAGCAGCCGCGGUAAUACGUAGGGUGCAAGCGUUGUCCGGAAUUAUUGGGCGUAAAGAGCUCGUAGGCGGUUUGUCGCGUCUGCUGUGAAAUCCCGAGGCUCAACCUCGGGUCUGCAGUGGGUACGGGCAGACUAGAGUGCGGUAGGGGAGAUUGGAAUUCCUGGUGUAGCGGUGGAAUGCGCAGAUAUCAGGAGGAACACCGAUGGCGAAGGCAGAUCUCUGGGCCGUAACUGACGCUGAGGAGCGAAAGCAUGGGGAGCGAACAGGAUUAGAUACCCUGGUAGUCCAUGCCGUAAACG
rnacentral:rRNA from 1 species